rnacentral:rRNA from 1 species
CGUGUAGGCGGGCUCGUUAGUCGGGUGUGAAAUCCCUCGGCUUAACCGGGGAACUGCACCCGAAACUGCGAGUCUUGAGUCAAUCAGGGGUCGAUGGAACUUCAGGUGGAGCGGUGAAAUGCGUAGAUAUCUGAAGGAACGCCAGUGGCGAAAGCGGUCGACUGGGAUUGUACUGACGCUGAGACGCGAAAGCGUGGGGAGCGAACAGGAUUAGAUACCCUGGUAGUCC